rnacentral:lncRNA from 1 species
UUAAUUUUAGAGUAAUCCUGAAUAUGUCACAGAAUUAGCUAUUAUGUAUCACUCCUCUUCGGGAUUACCCAUUGAAACAGUGUAUUCUGCUGCCUUUUAAAUUGAAAUUAUAAUACCUUUUUUUUUGGUGCAAUAGCAAUCUAUACUUCAUAUGUCUUUGUUCCUCUCUUGGAUUUUUCCAUUAAGUUCUAUUGGGGAAAAAAAGCAACACAAUCAGAAGGAACUAGGGAUAAAUGGGAUGAAGAAAAUAUAAAGGAAGACCUGGCAAAAAUCACUGAGGACACUGAGAAAUCAAAGAUAAGGGAAGACGCAAGAGCCCAAGACACCAGGAUGCUGUUGAGAGUGCUCCACAACUGACCUGGCCAAAUGAGAGCACACAGAAUCCGGUGGUAAAGCUGGGGAACCAGCAUUGGACUGAACCAAGCCCUCUGAAUGUGAGUGCCAGUUAGGAGGCCUGGUCAGUCUAUGGGACCUCUGACAAUGGAACCAGUAUUUAUUCCUAGUGCACAAAUGGACUUUGGGAGCCCAUUCCCCAUGGAGGGAUACCCUCUCAGCCCAGAUACAUGGAGGAGGGCCUAGGCCCUCCCCCAAAUGAUGUGACAGAUGUUUAUGAUUCCCCAU